rnacentral:rRNA from 1 species
CCUACGGGUGGCUGCAGUGGGGAAUAUUGCACAAUGGGGGAAACCCUGAUGCAGCGACGCCGCGUGAGUGAAGAAGUAUCUCGGUACGUAAAGCUCUAUCAGCAGGAAAGAAAAUGACGGUACCUGACUAAGAAUCCCCGGCUAACUACGUGCCAGCAGCCGCGGUAAUACGUAGGGGGCAAGCGUUAUCCGGAUUUACUGGGUGUAAAGGGAGCGUAGACGGCGCGGCAAGUCCGGAGUGAAAGCCCCUGGCUUAACCACGGUACUGCUCUGGAAACUGUAGAGCUGGAGUGCGGGAGGGGCAGGCGGAAUUCCUAGUGUAGCGGUGAAAUGCGUAGAUAUUAGGAGGAACACCGGCGGCGAAGGCGGCCUGCUGGACCGUAACUGACGUUGAGGCUCGAAAGCGUGGGGAGCAAACAGGAUUAGAUACCCGUGUAGUC